GCAAUUCUAGUUUGUAAACUCUCUGCUUAGCUGGGCUGAGAAACCAUCUCCAUCCCUGUCUCUCCCUUUUGCAGCUCUGAGGUUUUUGCCUUCUCGGCUGACUUAAAGUCCCAAAACCUGGACAUCAGUUUCCAGAUUUAUGACUCUGGCUUUUUAGUGAGCUGAGACUUAGAGAUUCCUGCUUGCUGGGUGCCCACACAGGACACUGAUGGGACCUAGUGCCAGCCACAGGAUAAAUUCCAGGACCACUUAAGUUAAACUAGGAUAAAUUCUUAUGCAGUUUGAACCUCCUGAUAUUCUGGCAUGGGGGAGGGGGGUGGGCAGGGGAGGAGAGGUCUUAGCAGUGGAGUAGUUCUGGGUGCAUUUUGAUGUCUUCCAAAUGAGACACGAUUUUGCAUUUUUUGAUGUAAAAUAGGUAUUGGCAUCCUUCAAACCUUCUUACUCUCCGCACGUUUGAUUUAGUUUUGCGAGUUCAUUUUGGAGUAUUUCAGAGAGCUGUAGUAUUAAGCUUGAAGAAACCUCAAGUUAAUUUGAACUUUAUUUUAAUUAACACUAAUCUUUAACCAUGAGUCAUUAGGAAACAUAUUUUCACAGAAAUGUGUUGUGGUUUUAAAUAGUUAACUGGUGCAAGCUGCUCUUUUGCCCUUUUUAUAGUCUGAAGCCUGUGUAAUGGAUACGUACACUCCUUCCUUUUGAAAGUGUGAAGUAAUAGUUGUUCCUGACCACACCUGUCUAAUACUCCUGGAGGCAUUCUCUCUGCAUCAACAACCUGCAGGCAGAAUGCCUGCAGCAAACAUCACAUGGUUAGUGCCGUGUUUAAUCUGCUUCAUAUGAUAGUGCAUUUAUCCCACUCCUUUCACCAUAUGCUCAAGAAAUGUGGUGCUGGAAAAUGGAUUCUCUGUGUGUUUUACUUGUGAGGUACAUUUCUACAAGCACAGCUGAAUUCUGAGCCCUCUGCUAUUAAGCAUUUUAGUAUAACUACUACUACUAAGAAUACUGUUAUUACUGUUAUUAUUACAGCUGCCAUUAUUACCAAGCAGAGCUGAUUUAGUAAAAUGCAAAGCAUGAUUAAAUAAUUUAGUGUCACAGUAUAGUGCAUUCCUCUAAAAUGAUAAAUAAUUCCAGGUGCUUUUCAUUUCUUAUUUGUUUCCAUUCUGUGGUCUCUUACUUCACCUACAUUGUGCAAGAAGACCACAUCAGACAACUAGACCAUCUGUGUACAUCCAAGCAAUUAAACUUCAAAAUAUGAUCAUACAGGGCUGUUUGUCAUCAGCUGCAGAGGUUAACUAAAAUUCACGUUUGUCAAAAUUAAAUAAUUUUCUUAUAUGGAUGUGAGUUUUAAAUCUGUAGAGCUGACAGUAAAAACAAUAUAAAAAGAAAGAAUUUAUGAACUGAGAAAAGGAAGUCAUGUAUUUAUUAUUACAUUUAUUAUAUUAAGUUUCCUACCGUUUUGUUGCUGAGUAUGGUUAUGCUGCCUAAUUUUUUUCAGUUAGAGGAACUCCUCGCUUAUAAAUAAACUACAUAUUCUACAUAGGCGGCUUCAUACAUGUAGCCUGGAACACAGAAACCAAAAUGGGACAGGAGUCUCCAGUGUGGAUCUGGAUCCAAAACCCAGUUUACGAGGAUAGAGAAGUGUGGCUCACGAAUUUCAAUAAGCUUAUGCUAGGUUACAUCAGCUACAAUACUGAAAACCUAGGAAUUUCAUAGUGAAGUUUGAAAGAAUUCCAAACACCCUAGGUCAUUCUCCUAGUCUUAUCUGAAGCAAAAGGAGUUUCACAAGCCUGCACUGAAUAGCCUUUGUAGUGACCACAAAUAUGAGACUGUGCAGAACUUCAAUGUUUCCUGACAUGUAACUUCAGUGACUAGCUAUGAAUGUAGAAACAAUGAGUCUUUCGGAGGUAAAAAUGAUGGACCUUUUAAGCAGAUGAACUUCUGCUAAGGACACCCAAGUUUCUCUUUGCUUAAAUCACAUCCGAGUUUGACCUCAAGACUUUUCAUCCAUAAAAAACUGCCGCUGCUGCUGCUGCGCUUUCAUUUGAUCCACAGGCUGUUACAACUCCCCAUCCUAACAAAGAAGAGCUAUGUGUGAGGUUUAUCAGAACCAGGGCAAAGGCAGAUGGGCUACAACGUUUGGAAAGGCGAAGAGUCCGGCGUACUCUGCCUUUUCUGUUUAAAUUGCGAUGUACGGCAAUGUAAGCGACCUCGAAGUCCUGUGGAAGUGUCCCUCGCGGCCGGUGGAGGCAAAAGGGGUACGAGUUACGCAGAGAUGUGGGUCGCAAAUGGCUGCGAAUCUUUCUCACAGAACUUGCCUGAAUGGGAAGGAGCCGCCGUAACUGUUGAACCGCCGAGUGCAGAUGUAAUUAUCAUUCUUCUUUCUAUAGAACCGGGCACGGCUGAGCCCCACAGCCAACGGGGGGGGUGCCGCAGGGAAAACGUGUGUCAGAAAGGGCAGA